UACGAAGGGGCAAGCGUUGUUCGGAAUUACUGGGCGUAAAGGGCGCGUAGGCGGCCGAUCAAGUCAGGCGUGAAAUUCCCGGGCUCAACCUGGGGGCUGCGCUUGAUACUGAUUGGCUUGAAUGCGGGAGAGGAUAGUGGAAUUCCCAGUGUAGAGGUGAAAUUCGUAGAUAUUGGGAAGAACACCAGUGGCGAAGGCGGCUAUCUGGCCCGUUAUUGACGCUGAGGCGCGAAAGCGAUGGGG
rnacentral:rRNA from 1 species